AUACAGAGGGUGCAAGCGUUAAUCGGAUUUACUGGGCGUAAAGCGCGCGUAGGUGGCUAAUUAAGUCAAAUGUGAAAUCCCCGAGCUUGACUUGGGAAUUGCAUUCGAUACUGGUUAGCUAGAGUAUGGGAGAGGAUGGUAGAAUUCCAGGUGUAGCGGUGAAAUGCGUAGAGAUCUGGAGGAAUACCGAUGGCGAAGGCAGCCAUCUGGCCUAAUACUGACACUGAGGUGCGAAAGCAUGGGGAGCAAACAGGAUUAGAUACCCUGGUAGUCCAUGCCGUAAACGAUGUCUACUAGCCGUUGGGGCCCUUGAGGCUUUAGUGGCGCAGCUAACGCGAUAAGUAGACCGCCUGGGGAGUACGGUCGCAAGACUAAAACUCAAAUGAAUUGACGGGG
rnacentral:rRNA from 1 species